rnacentral:lncRNA from 1 species
AGCUGCCGGCUGCUGUUGCUAGGGGCGACUCGUCCUGUUGGGUCUGAGGGGGUGGUGCCGUCGGAAAGGUCUUGCUUGGUCUCCUCUCUAGCGGGCGGAGAGUUCCAAUGGUCCAGAUUGCCUGGGCAUCCCUGACCCCUCCGGACCACUUCCCUAGAGGGCAUCCUGUGCCCGACUGCUGGGCUGGCAUUUGCAGAGUACAGAUCUAGGCUGUCUGGAUUAUACUACACAUGAAGAGCCUACUGUUUGCAAAAAUUGACUUUUCUUUCCCGCGGCCACGCUGCAAAGGAUGGAGCUCCAGCAGCGAAGCAGCAGUCACUGGUCUAGCUGAAGAGGAAGGAGCCAGGCUCCUGCUUCGUAACCGAGGCAUCUAGCAUCCAGCCAAAGAACUUUUUUGCCUCUGACUAAGGAGCCACUGGUUAUCGGAGCCGGCUCAAUUGAAUACCCAUUCGGAUGAAAGAGUGAAGUAUAAAAUAACAAGUCUUCUGAAGAGCGAUAUUGCUACAGGCUUGGACCAGGGAGUGACCUGCAGGUGGAACUCUGAAUAUGCUGCCUCUUCUAGAAGGCCUGCUCAGCGUGUCACCUCUUUAUGUCUUCUAAGGAGAGAAUCCAUUGGUAGAGGAGGGAGGGCUAUGUGAGCCGGGGUAAGACAAACUGUUACUAAUAGUCCACCUUGUGCCGGUUAUUCAUUAAGCCUCAGUGUAGCCGCAUAAGAUGCUCAGGCACAGCACGUGACCUAAAGUCUGGGUAAGUUGGUUACUUUACCCAGGCCAUCGGUGGUGUUGGUUAUAGAAGGAUCUGAACCCCAUUCCUACAGCUUUAGAAAUGGCUAAACUUGUGAGUGACUAAACUUUGCUUUCUUUCCUUCUUAUGUUUUGUUUGCUUGCUUUGGUUCUGCCCCCCCAACACCCCGAUAUCCUGGUGUAUCCUGCUUUGUGAAACAACAGAUCUUCAAACACCAGCAUCACAUCCAGAGAGGCCAGAGGGUCCCAAGACAAAACAAGCCGGGGCCAAGACGCACUCAGAGCUCCUAUCUCACCCUCUUAGGGGUGUGCUCGGGGCACCAGAUGGGUUAUUAAAUGUUAUUCUCUUUCUCCCUUUUUGGUUAAGCAGAGGACUGCAGAGGAAAGCCUCUGAAUCAAAUGUUUGCUCCACACAGUUCAACUGAAAUGUAGGUUGUGAUGAGUGGACACGUGCUCCACAGCUAAGAGACCAACCGAGGGCAUCCUAUCCCACUCGUGGGUCUAAGGGGAGACUUACAGAAGGCAUACUUACUCUGAAGAUGGAAUGAUAGCUGAAGAGACAGAGUGAUGCCUAGGGCCUGUCAGACACCCAGUUUAGCCUAAUACAGAAAAGCACGGAGGUGAGAAACAACAGGGUGAAUCCAAGGAAAUUCAACAGGAGCAUGUGAGAGGCAGGAGCCAGGGAGAGUUAGACAUGGCCCGAAACAAGUUCUCCCCUCCACCCUGAGGAAUUCUGGUGCUUCAGCACUGGCUCCUGAAGAAUUGGGGAAACUUCCCAGAAGGUUGUCAGCCUCUCUCCGGCAGGAGCUUUACAGAGGUCUGUGGACACUUCAGAGCACCCACACGGGCCAGAGAAGUAACUGGUCACGAGGCUUCCCCCAGGGGGACUUCCUCACUCAAGCGACACAUUAAACUCUGAGUCAAUGAAUGCCAGAGGUUAGGGGUAAAGAUGACAGCACUUCACCUCAAGCUACCUCCUAGUUUUCAUAAAGUUUGGAAUUGAAGCUGACGAGAUGUAGACUCACCGUAAAGAGCUGGAAGCAGCAAGCAUAUCUGUGGCCCAUGAAAAGGGAGAGGGGGACCAGGAGGGCAUGGGCUGGAGAAGGACGAGGUUGUGUCCAGAGGAAUGGAGCAAUUAAACUUUAAACUAUUCUUUUCAUAA